rnacentral:rRNA from 1 species
UGUUCGGAAUUACUGGGCGUAAAGGGCUCGUAGGUGGCCAACUAAGUCAGACGUGAAAUCCCUCGGCUUAACCGGGGAACUGCGUCCGAUACUGGAUGGCUUGAGUUCGGGAGAGGGAUGCGGAAUUCCAGGUGUAGCGGUGAAAUGCGUAGAUAUCUGGAGGAACACCGGUGGCGAAGGCGGCAUCCUGGACCGACACUGACGCUGAGGAGCGAAAGCCAGGGGAGCAAACGGG